rnacentral:lncRNA from 1 species
CCGAUCUGGAGUGCAAAACCGACAGUUUCGCGGUAAUGUAAUUUCGCCGUCCAGAUUUGCAAAGUCAACACGAUGCAAGAUGGCAUUUAAUGAGAUUCCUGCGUGCUCCCCAGAUCUCCAGGCGUAGAUCACCUCAAGACGAGUAAUGUAUUCAUGGAGCAGCAGCCAGGGGGUAGUGCUCCACCAUGCAGGACAGCUGAUAUCUUUGACCCGGGCAAGCUCCAUCAAAGGACGUGUAAACUAAUGGGUGAGAAACCUAUCUCUAUGCUACCGCUCCCAAGUCCAGACGGACACACGCGUUUGGUAAUUAGUAGUUCUAGCUAGCUUAUUACAGCCAUGUGAUUGUGAUGAUCUUGUUUUAUUUACUAUUGACAGCAGGAGGUGGGUGGUGACAUUGUAAGUUGAGCAGCAUUGAUCUGCAGCGUGGAUCAUCUUGCGAUGUGCAUUGUGAGACUAAUUAACACUUGUUUUUAUGUGGAGAAAAAAGUCGCAAGAUCAGAGCAACUAUUUUUCCUUAGCAGAGCAACAGUUGAAUGGAGUACGUGUGUCGCAGAGAGAAAUGAUCAUCGUGGAUGCAAUGAACACCAGCUGAUGGAUCAAUAAUUCUGAAAAUGAUUGUGAGCUCAUGCAUGCACGGCUGAUGGUCUGCACGUCGACGCUGCUAGUGCUUUGCCUGACUCCAUGGACAUACAUCACAACAACGGUUCCUUGUGAUGGCGGUUCAUCUUUAUUUUUGUCGCCCUUUUCGUCAAUAAAAUCACGCUGAAAAUGGUUGAUUCUGAUGACUAAUUCUGAAAAUGCAGACUGAUGCUCUGCUCGUGCGAAACGUGGCAGCAACGAAGGUUCCUGUGACUGAGGAUCCAGGCUCACUGUCAUCUGCUCAUGCGUUGACUUCCUUGGCUGCCAACCCAGUGGACAGAGGGGUAUUUUGAAUUCAAGAGAAUGGAGCCGUUAGGCGACUCGCGAGGCGACAGACCCUGCUGCCUCGCCCCACCGCCGGUGAGAGUAGGUGAGGGUGGAAAGUGGCCAUGAAUAAUA